rnacentral:RNase_P_RNA from 1 species
UGAGUAAGCUAAACGGCUGCGCUUGCACUCGUGCAAGUGAGGAAAGUCGGGGCUCCACAGGGUAGAGUGCCUGUUAGAUGCAGGGCGCGGCGACGCGAUGGAUCAGUGCCACAGAAAAGAAAACUCCCCGCCUUCAAACGCGGAGAAAAGCUGAAACGGUGCGGUAAGAGCGCACCAGCGUCUCAGCAAUGAGGCGGCUUGGUAAACCCCACUCGGAGCAAGAGCAAAUAGGUGUGAUUAAGACCGACCCGGUCGGCACACGGGUAUGUUCGCUUGAGGCGCGUGGCGACGCGCGUCCCAGAUAAAUAGUCGUUCACGACAGAACCCCGCUUAUCGGCUUACUCAACCU